CAGACUCACUCUGAAAAGCAACCAAACUCGUUUAAAUGACUAUAUCAUGUUUACAGUGUGAACACUGGGCAAUUCCUCCGAAGGAGGGGGCACCAGAAUUGUGUAUGCAGGGUUUUUAUUGCCACCCAUUACCAUAGCGCAAUUAGCCAAGCUAAUUACCAUUAUCAGAAUGGCGUUGUUUUCACAAUAUUAUUCAUCUAACAGUAUAUACAGCUAAAUUAACCUACUGACGCAUUUUCGUUAGCUAAUAUACUACUAAACUAGACAUUUAGCUAACUAAGGUUAAAUUUAAUUCGGUUUGUCGCCAGUCUUGCAAACGAGCACAGUUAGCUAAAACACCUAUCACAGCUAUGUUACCUAGCUAUAGGCCUGCGUAUAACUCACAUGAUUAUUUAACCUCAACUGUUUGACUGUUAGCUAGCCAGGUAUGCUCGUUUGGUAGUUUGCAAAGUAUGGGACUGAAAUUAAACGUGUUAUUCCAUAAAAACCUACCUUGUCCUCGAAGAAAACGUUUGGCGCAAACAACAGUUGUGUCCUGUGUUCCUCUGGAAGCCUGGACCGCUUGGCGCGAGGCGGCGUCCACAAACACCUCCGUUCUUCGCUCUUUUUCUUCCUCUUCUUGCUUAAAUAAUAUUUUGUGAGUUUUAUUUUUUAAAAUUGUAAUUUCUUUGGUAACGGCAGGUCUUUCCGAACGGCUAGUUAUCACACCAACCCAAGUACCGUUUUUAUUGGUAAUUUAAAAACGGAAGCCUGUUUGUGUAUAUUGUGACGUCAGUGAAGUCGCCCCAUGCACACGCGCCUGUUAGCCAUCGCUGUUAAUAGUUGGUUAUUAUAUUCGACGGCAGUAGAACAUUUAAUGCAUUUGACAAGAUCAAUCUUCAGCUGUCCUUCACAAGCAAUGAAAUUUAUAUGGAAUACAGGUUUCUGACAAUUUUCUUUUUAUCUGUGUAUCACCUGCAAAACUCCAUGCAUAUCCACCAUUUUGAUUUUAGUUUACAUAUAGGCCUACAUUUUUGCGGGAAGACUGGAACAAUGAAUGUCAUCAACUACUACAGUGCAAGCACAGAAGGAACUAGUGUGCAAAGCUGUGGCAGAAACACAUCCUCAUAUCUACACGUGUCUCAUCAGGAAAACCAUCAUGUGGAAUCUCCGUUCUUGGGAACAGGGAGCAAAGGCUGAGCAAGACCAGGCUUGACCACUCCCAUUAUAUCCUGAUUAUAGUGCAGCAGUGUGGUCUCCUGCUGAGGUGUGAGCAGAGAAGGAAUCCCAUGGUGCCCUGUGUCAGACCAAAGGCAUCAGAGGGGACAGGUGUCUGUGACUAAACUGCAGUUCCUGCCCCAGGUAGGGUGAACCCCCCCCCCCCCCCAAUGCCAGCACGCAGCCAGAGGUCUGGUUUCUGCCAAGCACUCUUUUGUUUUGUUUUUUAUCUGUACCCCAGCCUUUUCCCCUGUGCUGUAAUGACAGAUGUGUGAAGUCAGUGCCUGGUGUGGAAAUCCUUGUAACAUAAAGAAAUCAGAUAGGCAAUCGGCCAAUCAAAUCAGUCUGUUGUAGUUCAACUUCAGUCAUGCGUAGACGGCUCGAUAAAGAUCCGUCACAAUGAACAAGUGAUAUGGCGUUAUCAGAAUAAAAGGAUUCUAUAUA